CCGUUGAAUAUGAGCCAGCAGUGUGCCCAGGUGGCCAAGAAGGCCAGUUGCAUCCUGGCUUAUAUCAGAACGUGUGAUGAGAAGGACUAGAGAGGUUAUCCUGCCUCUGUACUUAGCAUUGGUGAGGCCCCACCUCGAGUACUGUGUUCAGUAUUGGGCACCUCAGUACUGAAAGGGCUUUGAGGUGCUGGAGCAGAUCCAGUGAAGAGCAAAAAGGCUGGUGAGGGGCUUGGAGAAUAUCCCCCGUGAGGAGCAACUGGAGGAACUGGGGCUGUUUAGUCUGGGGAAAAGGUGGGUGAGGGGAGAUCUUAUUGCUCUCUUCAAAUACCUGAAAUGUGAUUGCAGUGAGAGUGGGGUUGGUCUCUUCUCACUGGUGAUAGGUGACAGGACAAGGGGAAAUGGCUUCAAGUUGUGCUAGGGAAGCUUUAGUUUGAAUAUCAGAAAAAUCAUUUUUACAGAAAGGGCUGUUAAGGACUGGAACAGGCUCUCCAGGGAAGUGGUUGAGUCACCAUCUCUGAAUGUGCUUAAAAACUAUUUUGACGGUUUGGAUGGGACAUGAUUUAGCAGUGGGUUUCAGAGUUAGGGCAGUAUGGUUAGGUUGUGGUUUGACUUGAUGAUCUUCAACAUCUUUUCCAACCUGAGCAAUUCUAUGAUUCUAUGAUUUGAUGAGUGCCUGGACUUCUUUUUGCAGCUGCAGAAGGGACUGCAUCUUUAAGGACACUCCAGAAGUCCAGAACCAAAAAGAUCCCUUACAAUACUGAGGCCAAGAUGGUGCAAGGCAGAGAUGACAUUUCAGCACAAGAGAUCAGCAAGCAGGAGAGAUAUGAGCCAGCAGUGCAGUUCAUGGAAUAAUGGGGAAAAAAGGAACCGUUUCAUAGAAAAUAAUGGUGAGAAGUCCUUGGCCUCUGCUGUGGAUGUAAAAUCUCUCCCUCUUGGAACUGAUGAAACACAGAAGUACGGUGGGAUUAGAAAAGUGACUUGCACAGUGAGCAAGGUGAGUACUGUUAUGCAUCCUUCUUCAGUGUGGUAUGCAAUUUUGAGUGUGUCCAUGCCCCUUUUA
rnacentral:lncRNA from 1 species